rnacentral:rRNA from 1 species
CCUACGGGAGGCAGCAGUGGGGAAUAUUGCACAAUGGGCGAAAGCCUGAUGCAGCAACGCCGCGUGCGGGAAGAAGGCCCUAGGGUUGUAAACCGCUUUCAGCAGGGAAGAAAAUGACGGUACCUGCAGAAGAAGGUGCGGCCAACUACGUGCCAGCAGCCGCGGUGACACGUAGGCACCAAGCGUUGUCCGGAUUUAUUGGGCGUAAAGAGCUCGUAGGCGGUUCAGUAAGUCGGGUGUGAAAACUCUGGGCUCAACCCAGAGACGCCACCCGAUACUGCUGUGACUUGAGUACGGUAGGGGAGCGGGGAAUUCCUGGUGUAGCGGUGAAAUGCGUAGAGAUCGGGAGGAACAUCUGUGGCGAAGGCGGCCACCUGGACCAGCACUGACACUGAGGCACGAAAGCGUGGGGAGCAAACAGGAUUAGAUACCCUGGUAGUCCACGCCCUAAACGAUGCGAACUGGACGUUGGGCUCAACUAGGAGCUCAGUGUCGAAGCUAACGCGUUAAGUUGACCGCCUGGGGAGUACGGCCGCAAGGUUGAAACUCAAAUGAAUUGACGG